ACUCACUGCUCAGGACUCGCUGGUUCGGCUCGGACCCCCUCCCUCUCCCUGCUCAGCCCCCUAGGGCAGAAAGCGGGUCCCAAAGAUAAGAGCUAUCAAGUCUCAGGGCUUCCCUCAUGUAGUGCCACAGAAAAUGGCUAACAUAGCAAGAUGCAAUCAAAGAAACCCCUACAGAACCCCUACAGAACCCUCCUAGAGCAAAGAGGGGAAACCUCCGGACUCAGGAAACGGUGACGAUUUUGGGAGCUCUUCAGGAUACUUCGGGAAUAUUUGAUGUUUUAAUAUUAGCGCGUUUAAAGUUUGGACUGAAAUAUGUAUUUUGUUUUGGAAGGGGGAGGAAUAAGGGGAAGACUCUUUGUUCUAAAUCGUGGGAAUUGUCAAGGUAUUUUAAUUCAAGAAAUUAAAUGGUUUAUUGAGCUACUGCGAUAUAGUUUUCCUUGAUACAUUUUACUGCAUAAGAAAAGAAAGUUACUUUGCAAUAACUCUAGACAGGUCCUGUCUUUCUCGCUACCCAAAGAUGUAAUUUUAAGGUGCGCAGGUGAUUUUUCUUUGUAUGACUGGAUUUGAAUUUGAUGUAACAUAUAAUAAUGCGCAUAUUUGCACUGCAUGUUAUACAAAGAUAAAUGCAUGUAUCUUUCACUAACAGAGGGCCGAAAUUCCGUCCUUCCCUAAUACCCCACAGAAGCCAAUGGGACUGCAAGGGUUUAAUUUGAGGGAAGAAUUUCCUCUAUAUUUUGGUUAAAUAUUUGAGAUUUGAAAUGUAGUGUAUUUCUGGAGAGUUUACAUUGUAUCGGAGUUCUCUCCACUCACGGAAAUGUUGUCAGUCUCGGUGUAAAAUAGCUAACAUAAAUCUUUACUGGAUCCGUUCUGGCAGAAACGCCUAAGAUUAUAAACGAUGUAUAAUUUCGGCAUAUUUUAGGGGAAAGAAUAUUCUACCUUCUUCAAAUCGGGGAAAGGAGAGAAUUGAAGAAAUUACUGAUAAAAUGUACAUCCAAGUAAUUACACAGAGAGAAAGGAUGUGAGUUGCCUUAGAAAAUGAGUUCAUUAUCAAAUAUUGGAGACAAGCCUGUUUAAUCAGCAUUACCGUUUGUGUUAUCGAACACCAUAAAAUCGCAAUUGACACUUCAUUUUGUAUUUACUCAACACUCUGAUUAUUUACACAAGCAGAAAGGCUUUCGAAAUAUCCAUCUACACAACUGUUCUUGGUCUUCCACGUUUUAUAUUGGGACUUUUUUAUUUAUGAUUGUUUUAACUGGGUCAAAAAUGCACUAGAACUAAGUUGUAAAUCAUCAGAAACGAUGACAAGCAAUAAGGCUGCAAUUAAAGCUUACAUUUUAUUUUCACGACGCGUUUCGGCCCGUUUAAAAUACGGUUUGACCUACUUUAGCUUUAAACACACUGUUGGGAGUGAAAUACCCCUCCUUUAAUUGCGUAAGAAAAACACUAUGUCUAAUAAAGAGGAACAUGCUUCAUUA